rnacentral:rRNA from 1 species
GUCCACGCAGUAAACGAUGAGUGCUAGGUGUCGGGACAUUAAGUCUCGGUGUCGUAGCUAACGCGUUAAGCACUCCGCCUGGGGAGUACGGUCGCAAGACUAAAACUCAAAGGAAUUGACGGGGACCCCGCACAAGCGGUGGAACAUGUGGUUUAAUUCGAUGUCACGCGAAAACCUUACCAGGCCUUGACAUAGUAGUCGUAUCCUUAGGAAACUAGGGAGUCAGUUCGGCUGGACUAUUACAGGUGUUGCAUGGCUGUCGU